rnacentral:rRNA from 1 species
AUUGAACGCUAGCGGGAUGCCUUACGCAUGCAAGUCGAACGGCAGCACGGACUUCGGUCUGGUGGCGAGUGGCGAACGGGUGAGUAAUGUAUCGGAACGUGCCCAGUAGCGGGGGAUAACUACGCGAAAGCGUAGCUAAUACCGCAUACGCCCUACGGGGGAAAGCAGGGGAUCGCAAGACCUUGCACUAUUGGAGCGGCCGACAUCGGAUUAGCUAGUUGGUGGGGUAACGGCUCACCAAGGCGACGAUCCGUAGCUGGUUUGAGAGGACGACCAGCCACACUGGGACUGAGACACGGCCCAGACUCCUACGGGAGGCAGCAGUGGGGAAUUUUGGACAAUGGGGGAAACCCUGAUCCAGCCAUCCCGCGUGUGCGAUGAAGGCCUUCGGGUUGUAAAGCACUUUUGGCAGGAAAGAAACGUCGUGGGUUAAUACCCCGCGAAACUGACGGUACCUGCAGAAUAAGCACCGCUAAUAC